rnacentral:rRNA from 1 species
UGGGCAAUGGGCGAAAGCCUGACCCAGCAACGCCGCGUGAGGGAUGAAGUAUUUCGGUAUGUAAACCUCGAAAGAAUGGGAAGAAUAAAUGACGGUACCAUUUAUAAGCUCCGGCUAACUACGUGCCAGCAGCCGCGGUAAUACGUAGGGAGCAAGCGUUGUUCGGAUUUACUGGGCGUAAAGGGCGCGUAGGCGGCGCGGUAAGUCACUUGUGAAAUCUCUGAGCUUAACUCAGAACGGCCAAGUGAUACUGCUGUGCUAGAGUGCGGAAGAGGCAACCGGACUUUUUGGUGUAGCGGUGAAAUGCGUAGAUAUCAAGAGGAACACCUGAGGCGAAGGCGGGUUGCUGGGCCGACACUGACGCUGAUGCGCGAAAGC